rnacentral:sRNA from 1 species
GGGUGAUAUGUCACACACACAUAUAAGAGGCCAAUGCCAGGGAUGGACAGCUUUCCAAAAGUCCCCUCCUGGGAGCAGGCAGUGUAGGCAGAAAGCAGCUAGGCUGAGCAGUGGCAAGCUAUCCCCAGGAAUGCUCCCCAAGAAGCCAGACUGGGUGAAUGGAUAGCAGUGCCCGCCAUUCCACAUCUUGGUGCUGCUAUUUUACAGCUGUUCCUGCCGAGGAAGAGCGGCUGGUCUUGCUGGAGAACCAGAAGCACCUGCCAGUGGAAGAGCAGCUGAAGCUGCUUCUGGAGCGGCUAGAUGAAGUAAAUGCCAGCAAGCAGAGUGUGGGCCGCUCACGGCGUGCGAAGAUGAUCAAGAAAGAGAUGACGGCACUGCGGCGGAAGCUUGCGCAUCAGCGAGAGACGGGACGUGAUGGCCUUGAGCGGCAU